rnacentral:rRNA from 1 species
UUGGCGAACGGGUGAGUAACGCGUGAGUAACCUGCCCUGGAGUGGGGGGACGAACAGUUGGAAACGACUGCUAAUACCGCAUAAGCCCACGAUCCGGCAUCGGAUUGAGGGAAAAGGAUUUAUUCGCUUCAGGAUGGACUCGCGCCCAAUUAGCUGGUUGGUGAGGUAACGGCCCACCAAGGCGACGAUUGGUAGCCGGACUGAGAGGUUGAACGGCCACAUUGGGACUGAGACACGGCCCAG